AGAGAAGAGGAGGCCGAAGCAGAACCCCAACCCACCCAGUCCAAAGGCAACCUGAUGGGCCUCCAGACACACACACAGGGAGGACGGAUCGCCAGACACACACACACACACACACACACACACAGAGAGGACGGAUCGCCAGACACACACACACACACACACACAGAGUACGGAUCGCCAGACACUCACACACCGACACGCACAAACAGAUAGAGGACGGAUCUCCAGACACACACACCCCCACUCACACAAACACACCCCCACACACACACACAAACAGACAGAGGACGGAUCUCCAGACACACACACACACACACACACACACACACACACAGAGGCGCAGUGUGGGGCCGCCUGUUGAUGACUGCUGAUCCAGCUCUUAACCGCCGACCAGGACUAGGAAUCCCUCCAGCCAUUUGUGCUUCGCAAAAGUCACGUUCUUGUCAUAACGUUCUUGUCAUAGCCCUGGGGUUGGGGGGGGUCCUUAUCAUAGAGCUGUGGCUGUGGUUAGCCUGUCAGGUUUUCGUUCUGUUAAAAAAGAAAAAAAAAAUCCUAAAAGGUAUCUUUCUGAUGUCAUGGUGUCGGUCAGUUUGUUUCAUUUGUGUUUUACCCUUAGAUAGCCACACACACACACACACACACGGGUCAGGUUGUUCUAUGUGUUUACUAAGAACUUACUGACGAAGGGUGUGGCUUUAUCACCUGAGCCAGCAUGUCCAACCCCUCCGCCCCCACCAUGUGUACCAAGAGAAAUCAUCUCUGCUCAACUCUACAGGCCUACAAACUCUACAGGCCUACAAACUCUACUCAACUCUGCAGGCCUACAAACUCUACUCAACUCUACAGGCCUACAAACUCUGCUGCCAGAUCAGCUUCACCUGAACACUAAAAAAGCUGUGGAAGUGAAUUCUGGUUGUGUUGGGUUCAGAGGCAGCCUUAACCCAUCGUGUGUGUGUGUGUGUGUGUGUGUGUGUGUGUGUGUGUGUGUGUGUGUGUGUGUGUGUGUGUGUGUGUGUGUGUGUGUGUGUGUGUGUGUUGUGUGUGUGUGUUGUGUGUGUGUGUGUGUGUGUGUGUGUGUGUGUGUGUGUGUGUGUGUGUGUGUGUGUGUGUGUGUGUGUGUGUGUGUGUGUGUGUGAAUAAAACCCUUUCUACGUGUAAGAGAAGAGAGUGACCGAUAAAAACACUGCGCUGAGGACCUGACCGGCUAAAGAAGCAGUGGAUUCAUUAAGAUGUUAUGAGUAAGGGGUGUGUGUGCUUGUUUUUGUUUAUUUGUUUUGCCAUGUACACAAAUAUGGUGGAGGCCUUAUGACAUCAGAAGGAUCUGCAGUGAUGUGUGUGUUUUUCCUAUGAUGGGUCACUCGUUAGUCAGGAGAAACAUGACGUGUUUUAUUUUUUAAUUCAUUUUUUUUUAACCAGAUGUUGGGUAACUGGUGUUAGUCAGGAGAAGCGUUUACGGCCAGAGGUUUGUUACUCUGAGGGGAAGAGGAACGUUCAGGCGGACCACGUGAAAAGGGGGCAGCAUCCAUCUACACUUACACGUACGCUUUCAUUUCUUAGGUUUUGUAUAGGAAGGCUGUUUGUGACAUUAACACAAAGAAUAGAUGUGUAGGAAGGCUGUUUGUGAUAUAAACUCGGAGAAAAAAAGUUUGUGUUUGGACGAUUAUUCCUCUGUUGUUACAAUGCUAAUUGGCAUUGUAUUUUAUAUCGUUGGAAAGCCUGUUUAUUUACCUUUACAAAAAUGUACAGCUUGUAAGGAUCAUGCAUUUGUGGGAUGAGCAGCACAGAUGAUUAUGUGGGUAGCGGCCAAGUAAUUGCCAAAAUUCUCUGCCAAUGUUAAAGAGUGUAUUCUCCUGUUGGUAUUCACUCUUGUUUUGAGUUGUUUGGUGGAUUGGAUGAUUGAACUCAUGAUCAGUAACAAGGAACAAAAAAGACAUAUUGGCAAUUUUACACUUUAUUCAUUUAAUACACCGUCAGGAGCCUCAGUAGCGGGUGGAAGAUCCAUACGCUGCCACAACAGCCUGGCACCUCCUCCUCAUGCUGGUCACCAACCUGGUCACAUGUUGCUGUGGGAUGGCACUCCAUUCCUCAACCAGGAGUCGUUGCAGGUCAGCCAUCGUGGUUGUGUUGGUCACUAACACAUACAGGUCAGCCAGUGUGGUUGUGUGUGUGUGUGUGUGUGUGCAGCCAGUGUGGUUGUGUUGGUCACUAACACAUACAGGUCAGCCAGUGUGUGUGUGUGUGUGUGUGUGUGUGUGCAGCCAGUGUGGUUGUGUUGGUCACUCUAACACGUACAGCACGCCCAAGCUGAUCCUACAAGUGUUCAGUUGGGUUGAGGCCAUUCCAUCCGGUCCACUCCCACACCUGGAGGUAGUGUGUGAUGACAUCAUGACCCUGGCACUAUGGGUCCCAGAUUGUGGACAUAUUGGAACACACUCUUUAACAUGGGCAGAGAAUUAUGGCAACCUUUACUUGGCCGCUUCCCACAUAAUCAUCUGUGCUGCUCAUCCCACAAAUGUGUGAUCCUUACAAGUUGGACAUCAUUGUAAAGGUAAAUAAACAGGCUUUCCAACGAUAUAAAAUACAAGCAUUGUAACAACAGAAAUAAUUGACCAAACUUUUAUUCCCCCCGAGUUUAUUAAGAGCAGAUGGGACUGGAGUUUCUGUACGUAAAGAGGCCUUUAGGUCAAACCCUAAAGGUCAAAGUUCAAAGGUCACGAACCCUAAAGGUCAAAGUUUGUAGGUUUUUGUUUUAGUUUUGUUCUCUUUCCUGCUAGGACUGUUCUUUGGUUCAAUGCUCUUGUGUUUAGCGUUUCUAAUGUGUGCUUCUUAACACAAGAAGUCACACACACACUGUUUCUGAUGUGUGUGCUUCUUAACACGAGUCAUUAAAACUGCAAUCGACUUCAUUCCCAGGAGGCCUGUCUCUGACACACACACACACAGUCACACACACACACACACACUGUUUCUGACGUGUUCAUCUGUUGUUUCUCAUGUUGGA
ensembl:lncRNA